UUUUCCCUGAGUUUUCAGUAUCCAGCUGUAUGUUGAUUGUAUCUAGAUCAGAUUUUGUAACAUUAAAUUGAAUAGAUUCCAUAAUCAUUAAUAUGUUAGAUUUUGUUUAUCAGAAAUUUUUAGUUUUAUUCUUCCCUCUGCACCCCGAGACAGACUUUGGAGAGGAGUUGGGGUCAAGAGGUUUCAGGAUAUUGAGGUUGCCUCUUCUCUUUCUGUAGAUAUUUAUGGUGAAUUUUGCAUUUUUUUCCCCCACAGCGUUCCAGGAAAUAUGUGAAGUUUGUCUGCACAUUUCAUCUUCUGAAAUGCCCAUUAGUCAGAUGAACUGCUUUGUGCAUAAGCGAGGGGAAGUUCAAAUAAAGGUAUAUUUGGGAAAAAAAGGGAAGACUUCUGCUUCUGACAUAUAUAUCUUUCCAAGUCUUUCUGUGUGUGAAUGAUGGGACAUUGAAGAAGAACAUGAUUGUGGGUAAAUAAGCUCAAAACAUCAUGGAAGCUGUGACCAGGUACUGUUUGCUUUUACCUCUGUUUAAUUUCUACAAAAGUGUUCUGACAGCAAACCUUUUAUGAGCUUGGGGUGUGAGCAGAAAAAAUGGGUAAGUCUUGUACUGCUUGCCUAUUAAUUAUUGGCCACAAAUAUACUGAGAGUGUUCUUAUAAUGGAAUUUCAAAAUGAAUCUAGAACUUUAUUCCUCCCGCUGUAACUCCUUUCUAGGAUGGUCUGAAGAGGAUUUUUGGUUUUUUCUUUUGUUUCUUUCUUAUUGUUAGUCACAGUCACUUUGGUAUAUAGAUGUGUGCUAAUUAUCCUCUAUCAGUCCAUUUAAAUAAUUUACUGUGUAAGAGUCUCAAAGGACUCUCUGGGUGGCAGGUUUGA
rnacentral:lncRNA from 1 species